rnacentral:rRNA from 1 species
GAUGAACGCUAGCGGCAGGCCUAAUACAUGCAAGUCGAACGGGAUUAAGGAGCUUGCUUCUUAUGAGAGUGGCGCACGGGUGCGUAACACGUAUGCAACCUACCUUCAACUGGGGGAUAGCCUUCCGAAAGGGAGAUUAAUACCGCAUGACAUAAUUGAGUGGCAUCACUUGAUUAUCAAACGUCAGGGUUGAAGAUGGGCAUGCGUCCGAUUAGUUAGUUGGUGAGGUAACGGCUCACCAAGGCUACGAUCGGUAGGGGAUCUGAGAGGAUGGCCCCCCACACUGGUACUGAGACACGGACCAGACUCCUACGGGAGGCAGCAGUAAGGAAUAUUGGUCAAUGGACAGAAGUCUGAACCAGCCAUGCCGCGUGCAGGAAGACGGUCCUCUGGAUUGUAAACUGCUUUUGUUAGGGAAGAAACUUCCGUACGUGUACGGGACUGACGGUACCUAAAGAAUAAGGAUCGGCUAACUCCGUGCCAGCCGCCGCCGUAAUAC